UCUAACAUUGGAUUUUUAGGCUAUUGAAUAUGUUAAUAGUCUAACAGUAAACCAUAGCUAUGUCAAUAGCAUUUGCUCGUAAAGAAUCACCAAGACUAAGCACUACUUUCACAUCCUGACACAGCUCCUAUCUACUGUCCGAAGAAGUUCACAUACACUGCUCCUCUGAUUCCCGUAUACAUAUAUUUUGCGGUGAUGCUUUUGUGGAGGUUUGCGACUGUUCAGUUCGUUGGUGGUUCCAAAAAAUGAUAUACAGCAGCCAUCAUCAUCACGUACUCAUCAAACAAAAACAACAGCAUCAAUUAGUGACAUAAUCUACUCAUCAAACACAACAAUAGCAUCAAUUAAAGCUUAGCUUGUUGCUCAAAGAUCAUGACGAAUCUUACUAAAUAAUAAAUAUGCACAAAUAAACUAAAAGAAUAAAUAUGCACAAAUAAACUAAAAGACUGCAUUUUCCAUUAAAAAACAGUCAUAAGAACGUAUGAGAAAAAAUAUGAGCUGCUAUGGAUAUUGAACUCACAAUCAAUUGAAUCAUAUCAGCAUAAAUACAAAACUUUUUUAAUGUAAAGAUGAAAUUUUAACUCUCUAAAGUAAGCCUUUUGAAUCUAACACGAAUCAGAGAAUAAAACCCAGAAAAAAAAGCUUUACAAAUCAAUAAAAUUUGUUUUAAAUUUGUGGUUAAUCAGAUAUUAACAAAUCUAAUUAUUUAUUAAAGUUAAUAAAAAUUUAUAACAAAAUAUAAACUAGUUUUAGAUAAUGAUCAUUAUCAAACUAAUGAAAUUCGUUUUUAACUUAUGGUUAGUUAUAUAUUAACAAAACUAAUUCUUUAUUAAAGACAAUAAAGACUUUAACUGUCCUAAUUUUUAAUGUAACAGUCCAGAACAAAAUAAAAAAUCAAUUCAUAAAUAAUAUUGUAGACUAUUUAAUUUAUUAUUAAAUAUUUCAGAUGAAUGACUGUUCUCAA
rnacentral:lncRNA from 1 species